rnacentral:rRNA from 1 species
GACGAACGCUGGCGGCGUGCUUAACACAUGCAAGUCGAACGGUAAGGCCUUCGGGUACACGAGUGGCGAACGGGUGAGUAACACGUGGGUGAUCUGCCCCCUACUCUGGGAUAAGCCUGGGAAACUGGGUCUAAUACCGGAUAUGACCUCCUUCUGCAUGGUUGGUGGUGGAAAGUUUUUUCGGUAGGGGAGGAGCCCGCGGCCUAUCAGCUUGUGGGUGGGGUAAUGGCCUACCAAGGCGACGACGGGUAGCCGGCCUGAGAGGGCGACCGGCCACACGGGGACUGGGACACGGCCCAGACGCCUACGGGAGGCAGCAGUGGGGAAUAUUGCACAAUGGGCGAAAGCCUGAUGCAGCGACGCCGCGUGGGGGAUGACGGCCUUCGGGUUGUAAACCCCUUUCAGUCGGGACGAAGCGAGAGUGACGGUACCGAUAGAAGAAGCACCGGCCAACUACGUGCCAGCCGCCGCCGUAACAC